rnacentral:ncRNA from 1 species
UAUCUUUGCACCGUGAUUCGAAAACCGAGUUGCGUACAUAACAAUCAUUUACAAUAAUAUUAGCAUG